rnacentral:rRNA from 1 species
AGCUAACGCAUUAAGCACUCCGCCUGGGGAGUACGGUCGCAAGACUGAAACUCAAAGGAAUUGACGGGGGCCCGCACAAGCGGUGGAGCAUGUGGUUUAAUUCGAAGCAACGCGAAGAACCUUACCAGGUCUUGACAUCCCGCCGACCGCCUAGGAGACUAGGCCUUCCCUUCGGGGACGCGGUGACAGGUGGUGCAUGGUUGUCGUCAGCUCGUGUCGUGAGAUGUUGGGUUAAGUCCCGCAACGAGCGCAACCCUUGAUCUUAGUUGCCAGCAUUCAGUUGGGCACUCUAAGGUGACUGCCGGUGACAAACCGGAGGAAGGUGGGGAUGACGUCAAAUCAUCAUGCCCCUUAUGACCUGGGCUACACACGUGGUACACAAGGGAUGGUCACAAGGGUCUGAAACCGCGAGGGGGGCCAAUUCCAUUAAACCAUUUUCAGUUUCGGGAUUGUAGGCUGCACUCGCCUACAUGAAGCUGGAUCGCUAGUAAUCGUGGAUCAGCAUGCCAA